rnacentral:lncRNA from 1 species
UGACAAAUAUAUAGGUGCAUCAAGUUUAAUAGAACACAAAGAAUUAUUAGGCGGAACCAUAGGAAACACUUCUUCAUGUUUAAUUAAUUCAAUGCAACAUAAAUCAAAUUUAAUCAUCGCGUCACAAGUCUGUUCCAAAACAGCAGGUAACUCAUCACAUAAAUCAUUAUCAUUUGAAUCAAUGGGUGCGCUCAAAUCGGCAAGUAAGUCAACAGUUUUACAAGGGGCAGCAUGGUCAUCACAUAUCUCAUUUAUUUCAACACACGUCAUAUUUAGUUCAGCAACACAAACCUCUGUAACAUUACCUUGUGGGCUCAACACGUUUCUUGUACACCUUCUCUCCAAUUUCCUCUCCGCUUCACGAGCAAGAUUAAGCAAACACAAUAGAGAGUCGUAUUUUCCGUAUUCAAUUAUGUAAGAAAUAUCAAAGUUAAGCCCACAAUAAAACCUAUCCAUUUUUCUUUGUUCGGUUUCAUCUAAACCAGAUCGCAAGGUUAAAAUUUGGAACUCAUGGUAGUAAUCAUCAACAGUUUUAUCAUCUUGUGUCAAACGUCGUAAUUUGGAACGCAACUCAUAAGCAUAACUUGGAGGAACAUAUGUUUCUCUCAUGAUUUUCUUCAUAUCAAUCCAAGUGUGAGGUAUUUUGUUUUCUCUAACUAUCUCACACCACCAUGAUAAUGCAUCAAAACGAAAUUUACUACUAGCAAUUUGGACCUUACGACUAUCUAGUACAUGGAAGCAUGUGAAUUGUUCAGUUAAAGCUAGCUCCCAAUCUAUAUAUGUUUCAGCAUCAUUUUCCCCCUCAAAGAAAGGUAAUUUAAUUGUAUUAGAAGGAUUGUUUUGUACCGUUGCCGUGGCAUUAUCAACAAGAGGCGUCGAGGAUGGCCGUGGUGAAAAGCACUCAUCGCGGUCACGGGAUAGCAUCGGUCUAGUUGCCAUGCUUCGUGUAAGUCCUGUCAUGGUUAGUAGAAAACAAGAAAUAAAUCACAGUAAUAUGUUCCUAUCAACUACUAGGAUAUGGCUACAAGUCGCUCAACUCUCAAGCUAAAAAUCAAGUUCUUACAAGUUCUUACCAUGCAAAACAGGAAGGUGAUGGCCAGCGGCGUGACCAAGCCCUCCGAAGAUUAAAUGUAUCAAUGCCUCGGUAACAAACCAACCUAGGUGUAGAAUCUGUGGAGCUUGGAGGCUUUUGUGAGUAGCAAGGAAUAGCAAAUAAUCAAAUCAGCAAUGCAAAGUUGAAAAUAUGCUCAAUAAUGCUAGUCCUAGCUGCUGGAGUCGAUAAGAACGAAUUACAGAAAUAAUCUAAGCCUAGAUACUGAAGAAGGUAGGAAUAGAUAGAUCAAAAGAUGGCACAACAAGUAAAUCCCUGGGAUUUUUUUUUCUUUUUUUUUGUGGCCUUCUGUUUGGCUUCUUAUUCUUUUCUUCUUCUUUUUUUUUUCUUUUUUUUUUAACCCCAGAAACUCACGCAAAAGAACGACCGGAAAACUGUACGUCGGUCUGUCGAAGAACAGCAAAGGCUGCAGUAAGAAAAAUCCAGAAAAAUAUGGAAAAAUAUGGGUUAGAAGGGUAUCGACACAAGCUUUCCAGCAAGGGCAAGAUCACUCAAAACGGAUGUCGGACAAUGGAGAAAACUGAGAAACACCGGGCUGCAGUGACGCCGGAAAACGGAUGCAGAAACUUGGAAGCUCAGAAAGUCCACCUUAAAAACCGAAUUUGGGGGUCAAAGUGCAGGGCAACGCCCUGGAUAUUUCCUGAUGCGCCUCGUCCUGAGCUUUCCAAAAAGUCCAAGAACGUCCAAAUCCGAGUUGGUACGCAAAAGAUACGCCCGUUUUACUGAACACGGGUCAAACCCACCCGAAACUAAAAUUCUACUCGGACUCGGGUCCGAAACUGACUCGAACUCUUUUUUUUUUUUCGUUUUUUUUUCUUUCUUUCUUUCCUUUUUUUUUUUUCUUUCCUUUUUUUUUUCAAAUUUCCAAACAACUUGAUCUCUAAACAAAAUUCGAUCUAUGAUGAAACACUUUCCAAAAGCACUCCUUAUUGGACUCGGACUCGGAUUCGCGGCUGAAAACUAUAACUUGCCGACUCGGUGUAGGACUCGAAGAGGGACUCGGUGUAGGACUCGAUGAGGGACUCGGUGUAGGACUCCAAGAGGGACUCGGUGUAGGACUCCAAGAGGGACUCGGUGUAGGACUCAAAGAGGGACUCGGUGUAGGACUCCAAGAGGGACUCGGUGUAGGACUCGAAGAGAGACUCGGUGGAAGAUAUGGUGGCGACGGGAGAUUAUGGCGGUGGUGUGGCAGGAAGUUUAGCGGCGGAAGAUUGAUGAAGGAAACCUGCGUCACACGAAGAACAAGAAAACCAAAAGCAAGUUCGAUCUAGUAGAAAAAAUCUGAAAAACGAUCCAAUCUAAUCCAGCAACUCGACACGAUUAAUGCAGCAAAGAUUCAACAAUGCAAAUACUAAUGUGAAAAUUGCAAGGCUCAGAUUGGUUCUAGGACAAGGUAACUAAUUCUAAUUUUUGUUUGGCUUUUUUCUGGACGAUAGGUAAAAACAGAUCUAAACUACGGAUAAACUGGAAAAAUCUCACCGAGCAACCUUAAGCUCUGAUACCACGUGAUACGGGUGCGGGUGGCCCGAUCUUUCGAUGAGAUUGGUAACUCUCGAUUUGGGUAGGAGGUGACGUUGACGAUCCGACUACGGCCUAGGAGGCAGCGCCUUAGCAAUCGAUACACCAACUCCAAAGGGUUAUUGAUCACGCGGGGGCACGAUCAACCUGACCACGAAGGUCUUUGUUCCUGCAAGCAAUCGAAGAACAAGCAAGAACAAGAUAAAUAGCGGAUGCAAUCUAAAAUUGCGAAUAUACUAUAUCAAACCAAUGUCUCAACGAGACGAUAAGUUGGGGUUCCGAAAGCGGUAAAACAGGUGGUCUAACCGACACACGCGAUUACACGAAGUAGUAGCGAUGGCUAACUUUUAACUAAACAAAACCCAAGGCUCCUUAGGGGGGCUCAUGGGGUAUAUAAAGGAGGAGAGAGAGAUAUUUUCGUCCACCUUGAAUAAGGAGUUCGAAAUCCAACUCUAUCUCUAACUUUCCUAACAAACUACAACUCUUUAGGAAACAGAAAAACAGAUCCGUCAGCUUGUUUUGUCCGUCACGGUCAGCACGAGUCGAAUCUCUUGAUGGGGCCAGAUCCGUUGGAAAGGUCUUGUAAUUACCUUUCCAACAAGUACUUGUUUGCUUGAUUUGGACUCCGGAUGCGGCCUGGGUGAUUAAAACAAAUUCGGGUCUCCUGGCAGCUCGGACCCGAAUCGGAUUCAACUUUAAUUCGUGAUAUCUUUCUCUAGCAAGCUCCGAAUCAUGUGCCGUUUGAUUUGUUGGAAAGUACACUUGAAAUCCUUCCCUCUCAGCUGUAUGAAUGCUUGAUUCUUGUUGGCCCUCCCGUUCGCCUCCACCGUAUCUCAUCUUGACCUUGGACUUGAAAAGCUCGACAAGAUGCCUACGUAAUAAAACGAGACAAGAUAGUAGUAGCUCCGCCUCUUCAUAAGUAUGACAAUGAAAACAAUUACUACUUGAAUUCACCUGAUUAUAAAUCUUGUCAAAUAUUAUAAAAUUGAGGCUAUCAAAGGUCGUAUCCAUGGUUAGCAUGUCCAUAUCAGCCUGAGGCAAGAAGGGUUAUUCAUCGAAGUGCUGCCAGUGAAAACAAGAACUAUGGUUUAAGGAAGAGAGCUUACCUUGCUGGGUUCAACACCAGCUUGCAGUCGGCAAAGAUUCCCCCAGCGGGAAGCGCCUUCCGCACUGGCGGAGCGCUCGCGCUACCACCAGAACCCCCCACCACGCCGGGGGCUGAGCCUCGGGCCGGUGGGCUGCCCCCGCGCUAGCUCCGUUGCAUGGCGGCGCAGGGGCACGGCAUCGUCGUUGUCGCCGUCCCCUUCCGCGGGGCUGUCGGCACCUCAGGACCCCUCGUCCCCGGAGGUGUCGGCAACGGCGCGGGAGGCGUCGUGGCCGGCGGAGGCGCCCGUCGGCCCCUCGGAAUCCCCGUCCGAGUCGUCCUCCUCCACCUCGCUCUCAGCCACCGGUUGCUUCCCGGUCCGAGCCCUUGGUCGCGGGGGAGGGCUACUUGACGGGGUCCCCGCCAUGAUGCCCCACUCGUUGCAGGGUGGGUAGUUGCUGGCUCCUGGGUUGGCGACGUUCGCGUGGAGCGCGAUCACACCCGGAGGAAGCCUGACGAAGGGGGAGUUGUAGCCGGUGAUCCCCUUGAGCCACGUGCGGAACUGCUCCAUCGUCAGCCCGCCUCGCUGUAGCCUCAUCUGGUCAUCUUCCCCCGAGUAGGUCCAGACCGGGUGAGUCUGGUGCUGCCGCGGUGUGAUGCGCCUCGCGAUGAAGCUCUGGGCCACGUCCCGAUCUGUGAGCCCCGCACGCAGCAGCGCAACGAUCUUGUUGCAGAUCGGCACGAGCUCGGCGUGCUUGGCGUCAUGGUCCCGCCAGUCGCGAGACUUCUUCGGCAACGUCGUGGGCUUGGUAUAGGCCUCGUCGUGCUUCUUGAUGUAGAGCCAGCACCAGUCCGCGCUCCACUCCGCCUCAAUCUUCCGGUCCUCCGUGACGAUACACUCGGAUUUGAGCCCAUCCCGGAACCGGGAUGAGACCCCGAAAGACAUCGCCUCGCCCUUCUCGAUGCGAGGAUAGUAGUCGUUGUGGAACAAUGCCACGGACGUCAUCACCCACACGAACGCCUCGCGGAGGUACUGGAAGACGGCCAGCUUGAAGUAGGACGUGGGAUGAAUCUGUGCCAGCUGCAAGCGGUACGCAGAGAGGAUGGCAUGGAGGAACAGGGAGUGCGGCGGCACGAGCCCGGAGAGGAUGAACCUCUCGAACACCCGGUAGUAGUGCUCGUCGGGAUCCGACCCGACGAGCAGGAUGCGCGUCGGGACGUGCUCGUUGUGCUUGGUGGCCACCGCCAAGCGCAGCUUCUCCACAGCCUCACCGUUAUAGCCGGGCUUGAAGAACGUGAACUGAGCCCUCUUCUCCUUGUCCCUGCACUCUCGCUCCAACAUUUCUUUCUUGCCGCUCUUCUCUCCCUUGCCGUUGGCGCCCUUGGGACGUGCUGGGCCUUUGGGUACCAUCAGUGGAGGGAGGGAGAAGGAAGGUGGGAGGCUUCUCGAGAGUUGGAGCGCAAAGGGGGCUUGGGGGAGGCAAUGGCAGGAGCUGUGUCGGAGGGGAGUCCCUGUGACGCCACCCUGGGUAUUUAUAUCUGGCAGGCGGAAUUGUAACGGGCACCCCCUCCCCACGAUCGGUAAUCAAGUGCCCUAAAGAUUUGGAGGAAUCAAGGCAGCGUGCGCGACGUGGCCAUAACUCCCUGCUCGUAGAGGGAUUGUGGGGCCAGAGAUCGUGCACCCGCCCCUCCUGCUCCGACGGGAGGAGGCCUAACGGCGGCCUGCGUGGUCGGGUUUCUAGCUUGGCCUGGGGACCCACGCGUCGGAAGGGCGUAGUUCGGCAACCGACCGAGGACGAUACUGCCCGGGAGCUCAAGGUUGCCGGCCCACACCCGAGGGCUACUGUCGUACCAGUGGCCCACGGGGCCCCACUGGCACGGGACGCGUGGGUCGCAACUGAUGGGAUCCUGCAAGGCCGGCUUCCAGGGAUGGGCGAACCCGGGAGGCUACCAGUUCGCUCCCCCGCAACUUGCUGGGCAACAGUACCAGGGCGUUCCCGAGGACCAGGGCUUUGGGAGUCGCAGGUGGGGCCGGAGGAACAAUGGAGACAAGACCACAUAGCGGGCGCAGUGCGUUUAAUGCACCGACAGGAGUCACAUCGGCAGGGCUAGUCUUGCCCAGCAAGUCUAGAGCGGCUACCCUAAGAAAGAUUUUACCUACAAUGCACAGUGGCCUGGGCGCUGCAUGAAGCCCAGCGUGGAUCUACAGUAGAGUAAGUUUUGUGGCAAUGACACGCAUGGAGAUAACGUGUCACACUGCAUGCAUCGGCACCUGUGGUAUCCCCUUGUCUAUAAAAGGAGGACCAAUGCCAUCGGUCAAAGGGUUCGAACCCUAGUCAAUAGCAAGUAGUAUUGCACCCAUUCAUAGCAUAAUCCCUUAGAAGAACAAGUAGCCCACCCGGGAUCCCCCCGGGGCAAUCUGUAAGAACACACAAAUUCGUGAAUACAACAAACAGCAGGACGUAGGGUGUUACACCUCCGGGUGGCCCGAACCUGGGUAAAUCCAAGCAUCUACACUUCGUGUCUUACGUCACGCUGGCGAUUGCCGGAGCGCCUGCCUCGCCCCUCACCGAACAACAAGGGGGUGCCCAGCAGCCCCGGUGCCGGAGACCCGUGCUCCGACACGUAGAUAGCAGUAGAAUAGAUUCUACCGGGUGCGGGACCAGCGCUCCCGGUGGGAGUAGCCCCCGAGUCUGGUGACGACUAUUUGCGGUGGUGAACGGACUCAAGUUAUGUACUCAAGGAUUUGCUUAAACAGGGGUCGUUCUUUUUUGUGGAAAGAACUUUUGUAUAACUAUAAUUACAUCUGAGUGUAAAUUUGAACUUGGAAACUCCCGGUGGGAGUGAUUCUGAAAUCUUUAUCCUUCGUUCAAUCUUGCAACUAUGGAGACGCAAGUAAUAUGUACGGGUGCGCGACCAGCGCUCUCGGUGGGAGUAGCCCCCGGGUCUGGGGUCGACUACGAGUAGUCAAGCGCGGACCCCAGUGAGUUUUUCCUUGAGUAUUCCUCCAUUUACUUGCUCAAAAAAGGCCGAAACCUCAAUGUAAGUCUUCUUAGAGGCAUUGCUGCCGUGUGUUUUGUAGACAAGGACUCCACUAAAUUGGACGCAGCUUGGGAGUGUCCAAGAUAGGGUUCAGAAUCGAUUGGACACAGCCCCCGAGUGUCGGGUGCGUUCAAGGCAAGCAUUUAGAGUCGGUUGGACGCAGCCCCUGAGUGUCGGGUGCGUCCAAGACAAGCAUUAGAGUCAAUUUGGAUGCAGCCCCGAGUGUCGGGUGCAUCCAAAACAAGCAUUGGAGUCGAUUGCACGCAGCCCCCGAGUGUCGGUGAUAGCCUCGAGGGUGUCCCGAUCUUUCGAUGAGAUACCUAAUUAUCGAUUUGGUAGGAGGUGACGUUGACGAUCCGACUACAACCUAGGAGGCAGCGCCUUAGCGAUCGAUACACCAACUCCAGAAGGUUAUUGAUCCCGUGGGGGCACGAUCAACCUGACCACGAAGGUCUUUGUUCCUGCAAGCAAUCGAAGAACAAGCAAGAACAAGAUGAAAAGCAAUCUGAAAUUGCGAAUAGGAGAUAUGAAGGUUCACGAAUCUGAAUACUCAAUAUAGUUGGAGUCUUGAUGACGGUAAAACAGGUGGUCUAACCGACACACGCGAUUACACGAAAGUAGCAAAGGCUAAACUUUAUCUAAUCAAAACCCAAGGCUCCAUAGGGGGGCUCAUGGGGUAUAAAUAGGAGGGGAACUAGGUGGUUUUCGGCCAGGCCCUUGUGGGAGUCCGAAACGGCCUAGGAAUCCUCCUAAAACACAACGAAAACAUCUAAAAAUUGGCUGGACCCUAUUACAUGGCCUUAGGCCCAAUAAAACAAGGUUAUAACCCUCAUCUUUGGCCCAUAGAUACCCAUUGGAGGGGGAAUCCUCCACUUGGCCGAAAUCCCAUUGAUGAAGAGGAUGCGGCCUUCUUCUCAUCUCUUUAUGGCGGUUUCAAUGUUCUGAAAUCAACACUUGAGCUACCUCCCACCACCUUGCUGCCACCUCCAUGGUUUGCUGUCCAACGCUGAUCCUUGAGGUCCAAGCUAGGUCCUUCAUUCCUAAAACACAUAAAAGAACCCAUCUUAGGCAGCAGCAUAUUCUCAUUAAUAUUAAAUGAAAUACCGAGGAACGAAAGUACCUGAUAAUUUAGUUGUCGUGCACGAGCUCUAGUAAUUGGUCCCUGUAUCUCCGGUACUUGAGGUGUAGGUGCUGUAGGGGCUGUGGUUGUAUCAUUAGUUGGGAUGUCCUCAUCAUCCUCCCCUUCUUGAAUCGAAGUCGUCCUCGACGGUAGUUCAUCUUCUUCUCCCAAAUAAGGCUUCAAAUCUGCAAUAUUAAACGUGGGACUAACCCCAAAAUCUGCAGGUAGCUCAAGUUUAUAUGCAUUAUCAUUAAUUUUCGCUAACACCUUAAAGGGACCAUCAGCUCGUGGCAUUAACUUAGACUUGCGCAAAUCAGGGAAACGAUCUUUGCGCAAAUGCAACCAAACAAGAUCUCCAGGUUCAAACACAAUUUGUUUUCUGCCCCUAUCUCCCGCAAGUUUAUACUUAGAAUUCAUGCGCUCAAUGUUCUCUUUAGUCGUCUCAUGCAUUUUUAUUAUAAGUUCAGCACGUUCCUUAGCAUCAAAGUUAACUUUUUCAGAAGUUGGCAAAGGUAACAAAUCAAUUGGUGCACGAGGUAUAAAACCAUAAACAAUUUCAAAAGGGCACAAUUUUGUGGUUGAAUGCAGUGAACGAUUAUAAGCAAAUUCAAUAUGAGGUAAACAUUCUUCCCACAUUUUCAAGUUCUUCUUUAAAACAGCCCUAAGCAUAGUAGAUAAUGUUCUAUUAACAACUUCAGUUUGUCCAUCUGUUUGGGGAUGACAUGUAGUACUAAAAAGCAAUUUAGUCCCCAACUUAGCCCAUAAACAUCUCCAAAAGUGGCUAAGAAAUUUUGUGUCACGAUCUGAAACUAUAGUAUUGGGCACACCAUGCAAGCGAACAAUUUCACGAAAGAAUAAAUCAGCAACAUUUGUAGCAUCAUCGCUCUUAUGACAAGGUAUAAAAUGUGCCAUCUUAGAAAAUCUAUCAACAACAACAAAUAUGCUAUCCCUCCCCUUCUUAGUUCGAGGCAAUCCCAAAACAAAAUCCAUUGAUAUAUCUUCCCAAGGAACAUUAGGAACAGGGAGAGGCAUAUAUAAACCAUGAGGAUUGAGUCGUGACUUAGCUUUUUGACAUGUAGUGCAGCGAGCGAUAAAUCUCUCAACAUCCCGUCUCAUCCGAGGCCAAAAGAAAUGAUCAGCGAGCACAUCUUCGGUCUUCUUCACGCCGAAGUGACCCAUCAACCCUCCUCCAUGUGCCUCCUGUAACAACAAAAGACGAACGGAGCUAUCUGGGAUGCAUAGCUUGUUAGCACGGAACACAAAUCCAUCAUUAACGACGAACUUGUUCCAUGUUCUGCCCUCUUUACAAUGCUGCAAAACAUCCUUAAAAUCUGCAUCAUGUUCAUAUUGUUCUUUUAUAGUCUCCAAUCCAAAUAUCCGAAAAUCAAGCUGAGAUAACAAGGUAUAACGACGUGAUAACGCAUCAGCAAUAACAUUAUCUUUACCCUUCUUAUGUUUAAUAACAUACGGAAAAGACUCAAUAAAUUCAACCCAUUUAGCAUGACGACGGUUCAGCUUUGCUUGACUACGAAUAUGCUUCAAAGAUUCAUGAUCAGAAUGUAUAACAAAUUCUUUGGGCCAUAAAUAAUGUUGCCAUGUUUCUAAAGUCCGAACGAGAGCAUAUAAUUCCUUAUCAUAAGUAGAAUAAUUCAGACUAGGCCCACUCAAUUUUUCACUAAAGUAUGCAACAGGUUUUCUGUCUUGUAACAACACACCUCCUAAACCGAUUCCACUAGCAUCACACUCCAACUCAAAAGUCUUAUUAAAAUCAGGAAGUUGGAGUAAAGGAGCAUGUGUCAACUUAUCUUUCAAUAUGAGAAAAGCUUCUUCUUGUGCAGCGCCCCAUACAUAUGGAACGUCCUUCUUUGUGAGCUCAUUAAGCGGUGCAGCAAGGGUGCUGAAAUCCUUUACAAAGCGGCGGUAAAACCCAGCGAGUCCAAGAAAGCUCCUCACUUGGGUGACCGUUGUUGGAGUUGGCCAGCUUUGAAUAGCGUCGAUCUUGGCCUUAUCAACUUCUAUGCCCUGUGGAGUGACAACAUAGCCAAGAAACGAAACUCGAUCGGUGCAAAAGGUGCACUUCUCAAGGUUACCAAACAAACGUGCAUCUCUCAAAGCAUCAAAAAUAGCACGUAAAUGAUUCAAGUGGUCUUCUAAAGAGCUGCUGUAAAUCAAUAUAUCAUCAAAAUAAACCACCACAAAUCGUCCUAUGAAAGCACGUAAAACUUCGUUCAUUAACCGCAUGAAAGUGCUAGGUGCGUUAGUAAGACCGAAAGGCAUGACUAACCACUCAUAUAGUCCAAACUUAGUUUUAAAUGCUGUUUUCCAUUCAUCGCCUAAUUUCAUUCGAAUUUGGUGGUAACCACUACGUAAAUCAACUUUAGAGAACACGGUAGAGCCACUUAAUUCAUCUAACAUAUCAUCAAGUCUAGGAAUUGGGUGACGAUAGCGAAUAGUAAUGUUAUUAAUAGCUCUACAAUCUACACACAUACGCCAAGAACCAUCUUUCUUUGGUACCAAAAUAACAGGAACAGCACAAGGACUAAGGGAUUCACGAAUAUAACCUUUGUCGAGCAAUUCUUGAACUUGUCGUUGAAUCUCCUUCGUCUCCUCUGGAUUGGUACGGUAGGGCGCACGGUUGGGCAGCGAAGCACCAGGAAUUAAAUCAAUUUGAUGUUCAAUCCCUCGAAUAGGUGGUAAUCCUGGUGGUACGUCUUGUGGAAAGAUGUCGGAAUACUCCUGCAAAACGUGAGUAACAGCAGGGGGCAAAGAGGGAGGCAUAUCCUCAAAUGAAAACAAAGCCUCUUUGCAAAUGAAUGCAUAGCAAACAGAAUUAUUCGUAUCUAACUCAGAAAUAUCGGAUUUACUUGCAAGCAAGCAUGCACCUUUCAAUUUAAUUUCAUUAACAUGUUUCGGUUCAGAUUUGCUAGUAGACGCUUGGUGCUUAAAUUCCUUAGCGACAUUAUGGUUCUCACUAUUAUCCUUCUCUUUGCUCUUUGCUCUACUAGCUCUAGCAAGAUCAUCUUUCACAAUUUGUUCAGGAGUCAUAGGUUUCAAACCAAUUUUCUUACCAGCAUGCAUAAAAGAAUAAUGAUUAGUUCUACCAUGAUGAACAGAAUCUGUAUCAUAUUGCCAUGGACGACCGAGUAACAUAGAACAUGCUUGCAUAGGUACCACAUCACAAUCCACAAAAUCAGAAUAUGUACCAAUAGUAAAGUGUGCACGGACUGUUCUAGUUACCUUGAGCUUACCGCUGUUGUUAAACCAUUGAAUGUAGUAAGGGUGGGGGUGCGGCCUGGUGGUAAGAACAAGUUUUUCCACCAUCUCCGUGCUGGCCAAAUUAUUGCAACUUCCCCCAUCUAUGAUGAUACGAACAGCGCGCUCCUUGAUGACCCCUUUUGUUUGGAACAAGUUAUGCCGCUGAUUUUGUUCGGCGUGGCUCAUUUGGACGCUCAAGGUGCGUUGUGCAAUCAAACUCAAGUACUGAUCAGCGGCUUCAGCUCCCAUUAACUCCUCGUCAUGGUGGGCAGCGGGGUCUUCUUGCUCUUCCUCGGCAAUGAGAGCAUAGGUAGCUUCGUCAAAAUCACUGGCUGAAUCAUAUACUCCGUCUUCACGUAUGAUCAUAACGCGUUUGGUUGGACAGUCCCGCUGAAAAUGCCCGUAUCCUUUGCACCUACGACAUUGGUUAUCUCCGGUCCGUCCGGUGGAAGCAACGGACGCUGCUGAACUUUGUGCAGAGGCAGCGGGUGUAUUUCUUGUUGCUGCUGGUCCAACCUUUGCGGAUGUAGGUGUAGAGGUACUUUGCUUGUUGGUGGAAGUAGUCGGAACAACCGGACGUGUAGGGGGUGCAGCUGGGCGUGUGGAAGGGGCAGCGGGGCUGCGUGCUGCCCAUGAGGAAGUACGACCUGCAGAAAAGUUAGUCCGCGCGUUCGCGUGUCGUCCCUGCACUUCCCUUUCAGCUUUGCAAGCAAUGUGAAACAAUCGAUUGAUAGAAUUAUACUCCUUAUAAUCAACAAUGUCAGCAAUUUCACGAUUUAAACCACCAAAGAAUCUAGCCAUAGCAGCUUCCUCAUUCUCAACUAAACCACAACGUAACAUGUUCUUUUGCAUUUCUUGAUAAUAAUCUUGGACAGAAUUACUACCUUGCCUUAAUUGUUGUAGUUUCUUUAACAAGUCACGCGAAUAGUAUGAAGGAACAUAUCUAGCGCGCAUAAUUCUUUUCAAAUCAUCCCAUGUUGGUGGUAUAGCGUUAGGAUGUGCAAUACAAUACUCAUGCCACCAAACAGAAGCAAAAUCAGUAAACUCACUAGUAGCAGCCCUAACCCUUUUAUUAGCAGGAAAAUCAUGGCAAGUAAAUUUUUGACUCAAUUCUAAUUCCCAUGUAAGGUAAGCAUCAGGGUCAUAUUUUCCAUCAAAAGGAGGAACCUUAAGUUUAAUAGAAUGCAGCGAGUCAUGUUCCUCUCUGUGAGGUCGUGUCGGUCCCAUACCUCGGCGGUUGAAACGAGUUCGGCGAUGAUCACGGUCGUUGUGAUGGUUUACGGCCUCGUCGUGUUCCGUAUCCGCGGAGUAGUCGUCGUCGUUCUCCUCAACCUCGCUUGCGAAGGUACCGUUAUUAGCCGUCCGCUGGUUGUGUGUAUUGUUUCCUCCCGGUGUAGCGAUGGUCGUUGCAGCAAUUGCCGCCAGUUGCUUCGUGAUUUCUGCCAGAGAAGUACUAAUGGUAGCAACAGAAUUCUGUAAAGAUGUUAGCUUGGUAUUUGUUUCAAUGUGCGCGCUCUCCAAGGUUCCAAGUCUCUCAUUCGCAACCCGAACGUCCUCAUCCAGCUCCUCGUUACGGAGCCUAAGCUUGCGAUCAAAAUGUGAAAUAAUGCCCUUUGUGCGUGGAGAGUGGCCUUGUAAAUCAUCAUCAGAACCUGCCAUCGUUAGGAGAAAACAAGAAACAAAUCACAAGGAAAAGUCCCUAUGCACUACUAGGACGUGGGGUUCCAAAGAUCACUCCACUCAACUUUUAAUCAAGUUCUUACUCGUUCUUACCCAGCAAACAGGAAGGUGAUGGCCAGCGGCAAGAACAAGCCCUCCGAAGAUUAGUGUAUCGAUGCCUCGAGGCAAACCAACCUAGGUGUAGAAUCUGUGGAGCUUGGAGGCUUAUGUGAGUAGCAAGGAAAAGCGAAUAAUCAAAUCAGCAAUGCAAAGUUGAAAAUAUGCUCAAAAAUGCUAGUCCUAGUUGCUGGAGUCGACAAGAACGAAUUACAGAAAUUAACUAAGCCUAGAUACUGAAAAAGGUAGAAAGGAAAGAUCAAAUGAAAGGUAAAACAAGUAAAUCUCUGGGGAAUAUUUUUUUUUCUCUUUUUUUUUUCUUUUUGUGGCCUUCUGUUUGGCUUCUUAUUCUUUUCUAUUUUUUUUUUUUUUAUCCCCAGAAACUCACGCAAAAUAAGUUAAGACCGGAAAGCUGCACGUCGGUCUGUAGGAGAAUAGCAAAGGCUGUAGUAAGGAAAACUCAGAAAAAUAUGAGAAAAUUUGGGUUAGAAGCGUAUCAAAACAAGCUUUCCAACAAGUGCAAGAUCACUCGAAACGGAGGUCGGACGGUGGAGAAAACUGCGAUAUACUGCGCUGCCCCGGUCCCGUAAAACGGGUGCAGAAACUUUGGAGCUCGAAAAGUCCACCUUAGAUGCCGAAUUUGAGGGUCAAAGUGCAGGGCAGCGCCCUGGAUAUUUCCUGAUGUGCCUCGUCGUGAGCUUUCCAAAAAAUCCAAGAACGUCCAAAUCCGAGUUGGUAUGCAAAAGAUACGUCCGUUUUACUGAACACGGGUCAAACCCACCCGAAACUAAAAUUCUACUCGGACUCGGGUCCGAAACUGACUCGAACUCUUUCUCUCUUUUUUUUCGUUUUUUUUUUCUUUCUUUCUUCCCUUUUUUUUUUCUUUCCCUUCUUUUUUUUUUUCACAACUUUCCGAACAACUUGAUCUCUGAACAAAAUUCGAUCUAUUAUGAAACACUUUCCAAAAGCACUCUUGAUUGGACUCGGACUCGAACUCGCGGCUGAAAACUAUAACUUGCCGACUCGAUGUAGGACUCGACGAGGGACUCGGUGUAGGACUGGAAGAAGGACUCGGUGUAGGACUCGAAGAGGGACUCGGUGUAGGACUCGAAGAGAGACUCGGUGGAAGAUAUGGUGGCGGCAGAAGAUUAUGGCGGUGGUGUGGCAGGAAGUUUGGCGGCGGAAGAUUGAUGAAGGAAACCUGCGUCACACGAAGAACAAGAAAACCAAAAGCAAGUUCGAUCUAGUAGAAAAAAUCUGAAAAACGAUCCAAUCUAAUCCAGCAACUCGACACGAUUAAUGCAGCAAAGAUUCAACAAUGCAAAUACUAAUGUGAAAAUUGCAAGGCUCAGAUUGGUUCUAGGACAAGGUAACUAAUUCUAAUUUUUGUUUGGCUUUUUCUGGACGAUAGGUAAAAACAGAUCUAAACUACGGAUAAACUGGAAAAAUCUCACCGAGCAACCUUAAGCUCUGAUACCACGUGAUAGCCUCGAGGGUGUCCCGAUCUUUCGAUGAGAUACCUAAUUAUCGAUUUGGUAGGAGGUGACGUUGACGAUCCGACUACAACCUAGGAGGCAGCGCCUUAGCGAUCGAUACACCAACUCCAGAAGGUUAUUGAUCCCGUGGGGGCACGAUCAACCUGACCACGAAGGUCUUUGUUCCUGCAAGCAAUCGAAGAACAAGCAAGAACAAGAUGAAAAGCAAUCUGAAAUUGCGAAUAGGAGAUAUGAAGGUUCACGAAUCUGAAUACUCAAUAUAGUUGGAGUCUUGAUGACGGUAAAACAGGUGGUCUAACCGACACACGCGAUUACACGAAAGUAGCAAAGGCUAAACUUUAUCUAAUCAAAACCCAAGGCUCCAUAGGGGGGCUCAUGGGGUAUAAAUAGGAGGGGAACUAGGUGGUUUUCGGCCAGGCCCUUGUGGGAGUCCGAAACGGCCUAGGAAUCCUCCUAAAACACAACGAAAACAUCUAAAAAUUGGCUGGACCCUAUUACAUGGCCUUAGGCCCAAUAAAACAAGGUUAUAACCCUCAUCUUUGGCCCAUAGAUACCCAUUGGAGGGGGAAUCCUCCACUUGGCCGAAAUCCCAUUGAUGAAGAGGAUGCGGCCUUCUUCUCAUCUCUUUAUGGCGGUUUCAAUGUUCUGAAAUCAACACUUGAGCUACCUCCCACCACCUUGCUGCCACCUCCAUGGUUUGCUGUCCAACGCUGAUCCUUGAGGUCCAAGCUAGGUCCUUCAUUCCUAAAACACAUAAAAGAACCCAUCUUAGGCAGCAGCAUAUUCUCAUUAAUAUUAAAUGAAAUACCGAGGAACGAAAGUACCUGAUAAUUUAGUUGUCGUGCACGAGCUCUAGUAAUUGGUCCCUGUAUCUCCGGUACUUGAGGUGUAGGUGCUGUAGGGGCUGUGGUUGUAUCAUUAGUUGGGAUGUCCUCAUCAGUCGGGUGCGUCCAAGACAAGCAUUAGAGUCGAUUGGACGCAGCCCCCCGAGUGUCGGGUGCGUUCAAGACAAGCAUUAGAGUUGAUUGGACGCAGCCUCCCCGUGUCGGGUGCGUCCAAGACAAGCAGUUUUUGGGUCCAUCCUGCUGCGUGGACGAGAGCUGAAUAUUGUGCUUUGCGCCGUGUGGCUUGCAAUAAGAUGUU